rnacentral:rRNA from 1 species
GACGAACGCUGGCGGCGUGCCUAACACAUGCAAGUCGAACGAAGCUCUGCGAUACAAGACUUCGGUCAAGUUGAACGGAUGACUUAGUGGCGGACGGGUGAGUAACGCGUGAGGAACCUGCCUUUCAGUGGGGGACAACAGUUGGAAACGACUGCUAAUACCGCAUAAUGUAUUCUGACCGCAUGAUCGGAAUACCAAAGAUUUAUUGCUGAAAGAUGGCCUCGCGUCUGAUUAGAUAGUUGGUGAGGUAACGGCCCACCAAGUCAACGAUCAGUAGCCGGACUGAGAGGUUGAACGGCCACAUUGGGACUGAGAUACGGCCCAGACUCCUACGGGAGGCAGCAGGGGGGAAUAUUGGGCAAUGGGGGAAACCCUGACCCAGCAACGCCGCGUGAAGGAAGAAGGCUUUCGGGUUGUAAACUUCUUUUACCAGGGACGAAGGA